rnacentral:lncRNA from 1 species
AACGAGCGAGGAAACAGGGCCAGAGAAUUGGAACAAAAUACAAGGCUGCCUCUGAAAGGAAUAUCUUUGUGCUGAUGUGUCCAUCAAGAGAACAUACACAGAAGUGACACUUGCCAGUAAUUUGCAAGCAGAUGGAACUUCAAUAUGGCAAUAGAGAAAGAAUCAAUUAGACCAGAGUCUCCUCAGGAAGACUUUCUAUAGGUGGACGGUCCCCUGGAGAGCCCGCUGUGUUGGAAGAUGUAGAAUAUUCAUAUAUCUGGUGAGCAUCUGCUAGAUGCCAGGGUUGGGGAGAGUCAAGUUGAAGCAAGCAUGAACCCUCAAGGACCUACCAUUUCAAGGCAAGAAAUAGAUACAAAUACAGUUGAGAGCCAUCUGUGAAGUUAAUUUCAGCACUGUUUACUCUUUCCUCCUAAAUCACUAAUGAAGAUGAAACAUUCAAUGGAAUUGAGCUUUGCACCCCUUUCUGGGAAAUUCCACCGAGGCUUGCUCUUGUUUCAGAAAAUAUUUACUGGAUAGCUACUAGACAUAAGGAUGCAGAAAUGAAUUAGAAAAAUUCCUCGCCCUUGUUCAAAGCUAUGCUGGCUCUUAGAACAUCUGAGCCCCCACUGUUUCAUCUUUAGAGGAUCCCAGCUGCUGGGGUGUGAGGCCAGUGCUGGAGCCAGCAGUCUCUGACCCAGAAGGGACCUGAGGUGCUAAAGAAAAGGGUACAAGCUGGAAAAGGGGAAAAUGAAUCAUGCUACAGGCCAAGUGUCCAUCACUGAUUCCCAGAGAUGCCCUUUGUGUGGUAGGCACUUCCAUGUGGACUCGCUACAGAGGUACAUGCAUAGGUCCAAGAUAGGCGUCCCUCAGCUCAUGGCCUAUAUUCCAGCUUGUAGACUUUUGCUAAGGAUGACCCCUCACCAGUAACCAGCUCUGGUCCCAAGCUCCUGGCUGCAGUCUUUAGUGUCCACAAACCCACAGAGGCUCAUCAUCCUCAACUGUGGGAGUGCACCUUUUCCUGCUGGUUCCUCCUCGUUGCCCUGGUAUUUCUCCAAAUGUUGUUCUCCCUCUGCUCAAAUAGGCAUGGAGCAGGGGCAGAUCAGAAAGUAUGAUGUCCAGCCAUCCUCCAACCAAAGAACAAAGUGCUAGACUAUCAUCAUUGCACGUACCCCCAGUCUCUACUGGGGAUGCCUAAGAGUCUUCCUUUCAUGUUGUGAAAUGAGGAGUGACUCUUCUGCUCCCAUUGUGGGGAGGAAGGGAAUAAAUAGACCCC